AGGUGGUCUUCUUGCCAUUCUUUAGUACACCUUUAAUAGGAGAGGGCGAUCUCCCAUUUGAACUGUUCCGAUUUCCUUUUAAGGGACUCGGCAUUUCCAAAUCGAAAGACACAGUUUCAUUUCUUGGCAGAUCAAAGAUUUAUACUCUCCUUCAUCUGAGAACAGUUGUCGCUUGGAGGGAAGAUUGAUAUCCACACCAUGCUGUGAGGACAGUGGGUCGUCAAUGGAACGUUUAAUGGAUAACGAUGAAGUCCUCAAGGACGGAUCAUCAAGACUGUGUUUGCUAGACAGUAAGGAAAUCCGGGACUGGGAGGAGUAGUCAGACUUCCGUUUACUCCUGUAGCUGUCCAGCUCUUCAUUCAGUUCCUCAAUCAGUUUGUCACUUUUCUCCAGAGCUUUGUUCAGCUGAUUGACUUCUUUCUCAUAAGUUUGGAUCUUGGCUUCAAGUGUUGCAACAGUGUAUCUGCCAUACCUGUAAAUAAAUCCAUGAUUGUGUAGUAAAACUCAAAAUUUUAUUUCCUUGUUCUUAAACCCAAGAAAAGUCUUUUCAAUACAAACAAGACUUUGCUACCGGCUGAAUUUUUAUCAUCUUCGAAAUAAAGGCUGACCUUCGAUCAAGCUCCGGUGAAAGCAUGCACUAGUGCAUGCUUAUCAAUUAAAACUUUUUUUAUAACACCUGCUGAGAAUCUAAUAUGGAUUUUUGAUAAUGAAUACAAAGAAUUUUUGCUCUUGCUUGGAGAAUUCAUUUCUGUGAACAGUAAAAGAACAUAUCUAUAAUUAGAUUUAUAGAUAUGUACAACAUGAACUUUAUCAUUAUUAUCGAAAUGAGACACAGUAUAACCUAGUAAUUGUUUGUUUAUGAUGAUUUAAAAUACUGUUGUGGUUUAACUGUGCAUUAAUGAUUAUCACGAAUACAUACUUUGUUUUAAACCAGUGUUUAAAAUAUAUACUUGUAAGUCAAAAUGCCUUCUGGGCCCUUGGUUGGUCAAUAAAAUAUCUUGUGACUU